UCAAGACAACGUGGUAUGGGAUUAAAAUUGGCCACAACUUUAUUAAGUUUCAGAUGUAAGGAGACCUUGGCUCAGGCAUUGGCCGUUUAUCCUUCCCAGUCCCCAGCCAAGCUAAAAUAAGGCCAGACAUUGAGGUGGAAAAUGAGCAUUUGGCCCAGAGUAUUGAAGACAUUUGCUCCAAUUUAUUUGGGUCUGAAUAAAGACAAUGGUUUACAAAUGUAAAUUCACUCAGCACUACAAAGCCUAUCAUUGCUAUCCUAAAGGGUUAUCCUGCCUUCAUUGUAGCUCAAAUGUAAACAGUCCCUAUCUGCAUUUCUAGCAUUUCAUUUCCUUCUGACCCACUGCAUCCAACUCCCCUUCCUUUGCCCUCCCCACACCCCUGUAAUUGAGAAUCACACCAUGUAUGUGAAGAAAUAGACUCUAGUUCAGCUCAAGCACAUCUCCCCACACCCCUGUAAUUGAGAAUCACACCAUGUAUGUGAUAAAAUAGACUCUAGUUCAGCUCGUCUUGUGCCAGAAUAACAAAUGUUUGGUCCUUUGAGGUGCCUCCGCCGGACUCUCUUGGUUUUUUUGUUCUUGUUUCUCCUCCGAGCAACUGAUUCAGCAAAGCCAAUAUUAGCUCCUGAUAAAGGCUGCAAUACUAAACCCAAUUAAGUAACUUGGUGGGUGGGGAUGGCUACAUGCUAUUUAAUCCAAUGCAACUGUUUUCUGAGCAGCCAUAGGACUGCAGAUCACAACAUUGUCAACUUGGGAAGUGUGCCUCAUAUGAUUACAGCUGCUACCUGGGAGCAAGGCACAUAAAGUUUCAGUGAAUUCUGAAUAAAAGUACCACAAGCAGAGUGCUCUUUCUUCCAAAAACAACUUGCUCAUCAGAGGAAGACUGUGAGGUCUCUGACAGACACAGUAAAGAACAAUGAAUGCGACAGAAGAAGCUGAAGCUCUGAAAAUGUUAUUUCGGAAUCAGCAUGCAUUUCUAAUUCCAAAGAUUAUGCUCACUGCCUCUGAUCUUGGUGUAUUUGAUCUGCUGAUGGAAUCCAAGGAACCGUUGACUUCAGUGACUAUUGCUGAACGUCUGGGUACCAGUCCCUUUGGGAUGGAGAGACUGCUGGACGCCUGUGUUGGCUACAAGUUCCUGCAAGUGGAGAGGAAGGACAACCAAACGCUUUAUGGAAAUACCAACCUUGCCAAUCUCUACCUUGGCAAAAGAAGCCCAAGGACUCAGUAUUAUUCUUUGAAGUUCAGUGCUGAAUUUACCUAUAUGAGAGCACAACACCUAGCUGAUGCUGUGAGGGAAGGAGAACCUCAGACAUAUAGAAUAAAUGACAUUUCUACAAGAAAUUUCUAUGAGGCUUUUUACAGAACAGAGAGCGGCUUGCGAGAAUUCAUGAAACUUAUGCAUGAGAUGUGGCGUCUGUGGAGUGGAGUUGUGUUGAAUGCAUUUGAUCUUUCUCAUUUCCCACUCGUUUGUGAUGUGGGAGGAUGUACUGGUGCCCUAGCAAAUAAAUGUAUUUCAUUGUAUCCAAAUUCUACUGUGACCAUUUUCGACCUACCUGAAGUAGUGGAAACAGGAAAGAAGCAUUUUGUCUCCUCAGAGGAACACCGGAUUACUUUUCAUGGAGGUGAUUUUUUUAAAGACCCAAUUCCAGAAGCUGACCUGUAUAUAUUGUCUAGGACCCUGCACUGCUUUGCAGAUGAGAAGUGUGUGCAACUGCUAACUAGACUGCACAAAGCCUGCAAGCCUGGUGGUGGAGUUCUAGUAGUGGAAAUAGUUCUCAAUGAAGACAGAACAGGGCCAUUGGAAGCUCAUAUAUGCAGUAUGGUUAUGCUGCUUGUUAAUCAAGGGAAAGAACGGACCCUGACAGAGCACAAUGCGCUCCUCAGUGCCGCUGGCUUUAAGGAGAUUCAGCAAAAGAAAACAGGCCUCUUUGACGCCAUUUUAGGAAGAAAAUAACAUUGGCCAAGAACAUUCUGUGAGCGUCGUGACUGAACAGAUAUAUUUCUGCCCGAUUCUUUGUAGCCAUAACUGAACAUACUUAAUCACUUUACUUUUAUUGUUGUUGCAAAUCCUCAUCAUGUGGAAAUAUCUCCUCCACCCCCUUGCUUAUCAUUAUGGUUGAACACUGAGAAGCUAAAAUAAUAAAAAAAAUUGUUAUCGUACAUGUUAACCACCGUUGUAAGUAGUUAUUACCUUCAUUUCCCUGCUUGCUUCCCCACCCCCACCCCAGGAGCACAUGAGCCAAACCAGGAAAAAGAAAGAGGUUGUAUCCCAUAUUGCCUCAGGUUAUGUAUGUAUGUAUGUAUGUAUGUACGUAUGUACGUAUGUAUGUAUGUAUGUCUUCAUAGCGCCCGGCAUGGUUGCCCCAGGGGGCGUGGAGGGCAAUAACAGGAGGACGCAGCAGGCCGGGAAUGCCGCCUUCCAAUCAGUCCAAUCGGAGGGGUACAAGACUGUUGCUUCUUCCUCAGUUUUGUGAGGCUGGGAUGUCGGAUCGGACUUACAAAGCAUUGAGGGGCUGAUAUGGACCAAGUGAGGAGCAAAGUGCUCUCUUGGAAAAACUGUGCCUGAGGCAAUGGCCCCCCUCAGUCUGCCCACGUGAAACUGGGCCGGAGUGAAACUGCUACAUCGCAAGUACUGAAGACAUUCACUCCAAUUCAUUUGAGUCUAAAUAAAGACAAUGAUUUGCAUGUGUAAAUUCACUCAGCACUACCAAGUCGGUUUCUUUCAUGGCCUAUCAUAGCUAUCCAAAACAGGUCCAUGUCCUUAUCCGGCCUACAGUGUGGCACAAAUCUGAAUGGUUCCUAUCUGUGUUUUUAGCAUUUCAUGACCCUCUGACCCCACUCAUACAAUUCCCCUUCCAAUGCCCACCCAGCACCUCUUUCCACAUCCAAGGGUCACUCUGGGUCACACCUGCUCCUGUUGCUCUGAAAAGCCCCUUGGCCUCCUUGAUGUUAACAUCCCUCUGUUAUGUAAUGCAUGCUGGGCUUGGCACACCCAAGCCGGGCCCGAUUUAGCCCUUUCAGUUAAGCAUGGUCACUCUUCUUACACCCCAAGUUCCCUCCCAGUAACAGUGCCAAGCUGGCCUCCCUUUUCAGUUAGCUGCAGAUUUCCAUGGGAGCUGUCAGAACUGAGAAAAUCUUUUUGGGAAAUUUGGAAUAAAAUGUACUUGUCUUUGUUAGGAUGAAUAUCAGUUAUUAAGAUGAAUGUACUGUAAAAAUGUUGUUUUUAUUCCAAGCAAUCCUGGUAACAAGCAAUAUGGGAUGCUUCAAAGAUAAGGAUAUUUCAAAAUUUGUAUGACGGGGCAAAAGCCAUGAAUAAAGUAACAGAUAUUAAAGGUAGCGGAGGCUUCUCCCUGCCAGAUCUGAAAUUAUAUUAUGUAGCCUCCUGUUUUUGCUGGAUCCAGGAAUGGAUAAAAUUUUAAAAUACAUAUUUAUUAGAUUUGGAAGGCUCUGACAAUAGAUUUGGCUGGCAUGUGUACUUAUGGUAUGAAAAAGCAAGAGUACCUCAAAGCUUUUGAAAUCAUAUUAUAAGGAAAGCGAUUUUUAAAGUUUGGGAAAAGUAUAAAGGAUUAUUAGAACAAAAAACACCAUGGUGGCUUUCUCUAUUAAAGGCAAUAUCAGGGGGGAAAUUAAAUAUGGACACUAAAUGGGCUACAUAUAGAGAGUUAUUAAUUGAAUCAGAAAGCCAAUUAAAAUUGAAAGAAUUUAACAAAGUUAGAGAGAAUGUAACAGGUUGGUUACAAUAUUUUCAAUUAAAUGAAAUAUUCUGUAUGAAAUUUCAACUUUCCAGAGAGAAAUAAUAGAAAAUGAUACCAAGUUAAUAUAAAAAAUGUAUAAUCUGUUGCUGGAAUAGGAAGCAAAAGAUGAAGAUGUUAAAUCAGUUACCAUUAAAUGGGCACAAGAUGUGGGACACAAUAUUCAAAUGGAGGAAUGGGAUAAACUAUGGUAGAAUGAGGUAAAAUUUGAGUGGACAGGUGAAUUCCCCCCGAAACCCCGGUGACCCCCGAGCGUAAUAAUGACUCAAGACAACGUGCUAUGGGAUUAAAAUUGGCCACAACUUUAUUAAGUUUCAGAUGUAGGGUGACCUUGGCUCAGGCAUUGGCUGUUUAUCCUUCCCAGCCAAGCUAAAUUAAGGCCAGACAUUGAGGUGGAAAAUGAGCAUUUGGCCCAGAGUAUUGAAGACAUUCGCUCCAGUUUAUUUGGCUCUGAAUAAAGACAAUGGUUUGCAGGUGUAAAUUCACUCAGCACUACAAAGCCUAUCAUUGCUAUCCUAAAGGGAUAUCCUGCCUUCAUUGUAGCUCGAAUGGUAAACAGUUCCUAUCUGCAUUUCUGGCAUUUCAUUUCCCUCUGACCCACUGCAUCCAGCUCCCCUUCCUUUGCCCUCCCCACACCCCUGUAAUUGAGAAUCACACCAUGUAUAUGAAGAAAUAGGCUCAAGUUCAGCUCGUCUUGUGCCGGAAUAAGAAAUAUUUGGUCCUUUGAGGUGCCUCAGGACUCUCUUGGUUUUUUUUGUUCUUGUUUCUCCUCCGAGCAACUGAUUCAGCAAAGCCAAUAUUAGCUCCCGAUAAACGCUGCAAUCCUAAACCCAAUUAAGUAACUUGGUGGGUGGGGAUGGCUACAUGCUAUUUAAUCCAAUGCAGCUGGUUUCUGAACGGCCAUAGGACUGCAGAUCACAACAUUGUCAUCUUGGGAAGUGUGCCUCAUUCGAUUACAGCUGCUACCUGGGAGCAAGGCACAUAAAGAUUAUGUUCACUGCCUCUGAUCUUGGUGUAUUUGAUCUGCUGAUGGAAUCCAAGGAACCAUUGACUUCAGUGACUAUUGCCGAACGUCUGGGUACCAGUCCCUUUGGGAUGGAGA